rfam:Macaca mulatta chromosome 3, whole genome shotgun sequence.
UUCACCUAGAGGAUCUUAAUAAAAUGCAGAUUCUAAUUCAGCAGCACUGAGGCAGGGCCCAAGAUUUUCUGCAUUUCUAAUAAGCUCCCAGGUGACGCUAA